UGAAAUUGUUGAAAGGGAAGCGCUUGCAACCAGACCUGCCUGCAGUUGCUCAUCCGGGCUUUUGCCCGGUGCACUCUUCUGCUGUCAGGCCAGCAUCAGUUCGGGCGGUCGGAUAAAGGCUUCGGGAAUGUAGCUCCUCUCGAGGAGUGUUAUAGCCCGUUGCGAAAUGCGGCCAGCCUGAACUGAGGUCCGCGCUUCGGCUAGGAUGCUGGCGUAAUGGUUGUAAGCGGCCCGUCUUGAAACACGGACCAAGGAGUCUAACAUCUGUGCGAGUGUUUGGGUGUCAAACCCGUACGCGUAAUGAAAGUGAACGGAGGCGGGAACCCCUCGGGGUGCACCGUCGACCGAUCCUGAUGUCUUCGGAUGGAUUUGAGUAAGAGCAUAGCUGUUGGGACCCGAAAGAUGGUGAACUAUGCCUGAAUAGGGUGAAGCCAGAGGAAACUCUGGUGGAGGCUCGCAGCGGUUCUGACGUGCAAAUCGAUCGUCAAAUUUGGGCAUAGGGGCGAAAGACUAAUCGAACUAUCUAGUAGCUGGUUCCUGCCGAAGUUUCCCUCAGGAUAGCAGUAACGUUUUCAGUUUUAUGAGGUAAAGCGAAUGAUUAGAGGCCUGGGGGUUGAAACAACCUUCACCUAUUCUCAAACUUUAAAUAUGUAAGAAGUCCUUGUUGCUUAGUUGAACGUGGACAUUUGAAUGUAUCGUUACUAGUGGGCCAUUUUUGGUAAGCAGAACUGGCGAUGCGGGAUGAACCGAACGCGGAGUUAAGGUGCCGGAAUGCACGCUCAUCAGACACCACAAAAGGUGUUAGUUCAUCUAG
rnacentral:rRNA from 1 species